AUUCCCCAUGAAAAGGCCUACAUUAUUUACAUACACUUAAGCCGAUUACUGAGAUUAAAAAUAUUCUUCCCAAUGUCGGACAAUUACGACAACGGGAAAUUUAACGGCUGGAUUCUAAGUUCUUAUAUACAAAUUAAUAUUCAAUGAAUUUUACAGUAUAUACGGUUAACCAAGCUACCCAUAUUUUCUUCGAGCGAGUAUCCAAGUCAAUUUGACAAACAAAACUAUAGUAUUAUAGUAUAUAUCCAGGUGAUCUCGUGUUCGUAUUUUAGCCAAUCAGCGCGCAGAAAGGGUUGUCCGAAUAGAAAUCCAUUUUGAUGUAUUCAGUCAAUUAUAUCUUUCAUUAUUCUUUAUGAAACUAGUUGAAAUUUUGUAAUUAUGUUUGGUUAUGAGAACUAUUAUAGCUCUGACAAAAUAUGGAAUCGAAAUAAAGUAUAUUACAGGAGAUAUUCAGUUGUUUUAAUCAUAAAAUGGAUUUCUAUUUGACAACUAGUGCCAGUACUUUUCCGCGUAUCAAGAUCACCUGGUAGUAUUGAAGAAUACUUUACAGGGUCAGGGUGUUAUUAAAAAGGAAUCUAACUUUGUUGUUCUAUAUUAUAUGCAAACUUCCAGUUUCGUAAAAUGUUUCAACCACGGAAUUUUGUUGUCAAAUUGCGAUCUAAAGCAUCUUCAAAUUUACUAAGACAUGAUUUAUUGGCUUAAAGUGUGACUAACCCUCAAUACGAUUUUUUGUGUGUGUAAUAUUUGGUUCAUUCGAAGAAAUGUAAUAUAUCUUUACAGUAAAAAAUUCCAUCUUGAUCAACUUUUUCACUGUCAAAGUUUCCGGAUAUGAUGUCAUUAGAGGAAUUGCAAAUUAGUUUUCCUUUGUUUUUUUUUGUACGAAAAAUUCACCUAAUGACGUCAUAUCUGGAACUUUGACAGUGAAAAAGUUGAUCAAGAUCAAGUUUUUUUACUAUAGAGAUAUAUUACAUUUCUUCUCAGAAUGACCCAAAUAUCACACAUAGCAAAAAUUAUAUUUGGGGUUAGUCGCACUUUAAUAAGGCCCGUUUACACUUGCAAUUUUUGCUGUGACUUUGCGAUUUUCGUCUUCUGAUGUAUGUGAACGAGUGGAUAAGUUAUGAAUGAUUCGAUGAGAAGCUCGAACCACAGAGUAAAGCCAGACACACCGGACGCGAUUUGACAACGCGACGCGAACUUUUAGUUUUUGAAAGUUAAUAAAACAGCCAAUGAGAGCAAAUUUUGAAAGAUAUGUAGAACAAACAACUCAAAAUGUUAUAGCGCUUCUAAAUAUUUGGAAAAUUUAAACUAGGAUCAAAGUUAUUGGUCAGGACCUUAAGUACAUACAGAUGUCGCACUUCUGCGGAAAAAACGGAAGAUAGUUUUUACUGCGUAUAUCUGGCGGCCAUGUUCUUAGCAAGUGCCUUAAAAAGAGGCAUUCACCCCCUGGAACAUUAAAUUAAGUUUCAAUAUGUUUUCAGGGGGAUGAGGCGAUGGCCUCUCUUUAGGGCACUUGCUAAGAACAUGGCGGACUGAAAAAAUCCUUUACGCUAAAUUAACCUGAAGUGAGACCCCUGUAUGUAUUUACUCUGUGCUCGAACGGUCUGUACCAGUGUAGGUAUAGCGAUGAUAGCAAGACAGGUGCGGAUUAUUUAUUAUUAUUAUAUGGCAAGCAUCACUUCCGGUGAAAUGGCGGACUGUGAUUGGCUGAGAACAGUGAGAAGCACUUUCGGCGUCAUUAUUUCCCCGUAAUGGGCCGUCGGCCAUUACGUAAAAACAAACGCAUGCAUUUUAAAACAAAACAGCAAAACUAAUUGAAAA